rnacentral:tRNA from 1 species
GCGAGCGUGGAAUAGGCAUACGCGGCAGGUUGCCAACCUGCCACCUCACGGGCACCCCAUCCGGCUCCUGCCGGUCUUCGGUCCCCGGUUCGAGUUCGAGGGUUCGAGCCCCUCUGCCCGCACCA